rnacentral:tRNA from 1 species
GCCCCUCUAGCUCAAUUGGUUAGAGCAGUGGACUCUUAAUCCAAAGGUUGAAGGUUCGAUUCCUUCGGGGGGCA